rnacentral:lncRNA from 1 species
CGUGCCCCUCUGUCACCCCCAAAAUGGGCAUUUCUCGCCCCAUUUUAGCUCCAAACCAGCUUCCCCUGCCCCACUUCCACCCCAAGACGGGGUUUUCCGCCCCAUUUUCACCUCCCCAUAGCACCCCCCGUCCCAUUUUCGCCCUAAAAUGAGGCUUCCAGCUGUGACCACCCCCCAUAAGCAGCAUUUCCUGCCCCAUUUUCUCCCCAGUCGGCGCCUCCCGCCCCAUUCCCAUAAGAAAAAUUGGGAUUUCCGCUGCAAAACGGGCUCUUUCACCCUGUUUUCACCCCAAACUGGAAUUCCUCACACCACUUACACCCCAAAAUCGCAUUUCUUGACCCGUUUUCAGCCCCAAACCGGAUUUCACCACCCGAUUUCCACCAAAAAAAGCAGGUUUUCCGCCCGACUUCCACCAAAAAAUGGCUAUUUUUCCCCAUUUCCACCCCAAACCUAGAUUCUUCACGCCAUUUCCCCCCAAAAUCGUGGGGAUUUUUGCCCCGUUUCCACCAAAAUGAGGCUUGCCCGUUUUAUCCCUACCCCCCCCAAUUGGCUCUUCCAUCCCAUUUUCACCCCAAGCCGCAAUUCUUCACCCCAUCUGCAGCCGAAAAUCGCAUUUUUCACCACGUUCUGCCCCACUCUUACCCCAAAAUGGGAUUUUUUUACCCCAUUUUCAGCCGAAAAUCGGCCCCAUUUUUACCCCCAAAGAAUUUCUUUCCCCAUCCACUCGCAUCACAGCAGACCUCCAAUUAACAACCAUUAAUUAAGCGGCGUCCCCGCUCUCGCCAUCGCAACGCAAACCCCUCAGGAUGGGAAAUUCCACCAUGGCCGAGUUGGUUUUUCCCAUUUUUUCCCCCCAAUUUUUUCCUCAAGUUUUCCUUUUUUUCCUACAUUUUCCUUCCUGCGCCAUUUUCCUCUUUCCCAACCUUUUCCUCCCCGAUUUUUUCCCUUUUCCCGGCUUUUUCCCCUCGUUUCCGUCCUCUUUUGUCUCCACGUCCACCCUCUUCUCCAACCUCUUCGUCUUCGACUUUUUCAGCGUCAUCUUCCCCUUUUCUUUCCCAACUUUUCCCUUUUCCCAACAUUUUCCUUCUCCAAUCUCUUUGCAAGUUCUUCCCCAUUUUUGUGCCCAACCUCUCUGUCUUCUCUGCCAUCUCUUAGAGCUCAUCUUUCCCAUUUCCUUCCCAACUUUUCCCAUUUCCUUCCCAACUUUUCCCCAUUUUCCUUCCCAACUUUUCCCCAUUUUCUUCCCCAACUUUUUCCCACUUUCUUUCCCAACUUUUCCCCAAUUUCUUCCCCAACUUUUCCCUUUCCCAUCGCCUCCUCCAACCUCCUCAAUGGGUGAAGCCCCUCUCAGGAUUUCCUUCUUUCCCAUUUCUUUCCUGACUUUUUCCUUCCAAACUUCCCCCUUUUCCCAAAGGUUUCCCACUAUUUUCCUUUUCCACCCUCUUCUACGCGUCCCCUUUCCCCUUUUCCUUCCCAACUUUUCUCUUUUCCCAACAUUUCCCUUCUCCAAUUUCCUCAAUGGGAGAAGCAGCUCCCAUAGUUUCCUUCUUGCCCAUUUCCUUCCCAACUUUUCCCAAAGUUUUCUCAUUAUUUCUCCUCACCAACUUUCCCUUUUUGUCCAACUUCUUCCCCAUCUUUGUGCCCAACCUCUCUGUCCUCUCUGCCAUCUCUUAGAGCUCAUCUUUCCCAUUUCCUUCCCAACUUUUNCCCCAUUUUCUUCCCCAACUUUUCCCCAUUUUCUUCCCCAACUUUUCCCCAUUUUCUUCCCCAACUUUUCCCCAUUUUCUUCCCCAACUUUUCCCCAUUUUCUUCCCCAACUUUCCCCAUUUUCCUUCCCAACUUUUCCCCAUUUUCUUUCCCAACUUUUUCCCAUUUUCUUUCCCAACUUUUCCCUUUCCCAUCGCCUCCUCCAACCUCCUCAAUGGGUGAAGCCCCUCUCAGGAUUUCCUUCUUUCUCAUUUCUUUCCCAACUUUUUCCUUCCCAACAUUCCCAUUUUCCCAAAGGUUUCCCAUUAUUUUUUCCUCUUCCACCCUCUUCAACGCGUCCCCUUUCCCCUUUUCCUUCCCAACUUUUCUCUUCUCCAAUUUCCUCAAUGGGAGAAGCAGCUCCCAUAGUUUCCUUCUUGCCCAUUUCCUUCCCAACUUUUCCCAGAGUUUUCCCAUUAUUUCUCCUCACCAACUUUCCCUUUUUGUCCAACUUCUUCCCCAUUUUUGUGCCCAACCUCUCUGUCUUCUCUGCCAUCUCUUAGAGCUCAUCUUUCCCAUUUUCUUUCCCAACUUUUUCCCAUUUUCUUUCCCAACUUUUCCCAUUUUCUUUCCCAACUUUUCCCAUUUUCUUUCCCAACUUUUCCCAUUUUCUUUCCCAACUUUUCCCCAAUUUCUUCCCCAACUUUUCCCUUUCCCAUCGCCUCCUCCCACCUCCUCAAUGGGUGAAGGCCCUCUCAAGAUUUCCUUCUUUCCCAUUUCUUUCCUUUUUCCUUCCAAACUUCCCCCUUUUCCCAAAGGUUUCCCAUUAUUUUCCUUUUCCACCCUCUUCAACGCGUCCCCCUUUUCCUUCCCAACUUUUCCCUUAUCCCAACAUUUCCCUUCUCGUAUUUCCACAAUAGGAGAAGCAGCUCCCAUAGUUUCCUUCUUGCCCAUUUCCUUCCCAAUUUUUCCCAAAGGUUUCCCAUUAUUUCUCUGGUUUCUCUGCCAUCUCCCAGAGCUCAUCUUUCCCAUUUCCUUCUCAACUUUUCCCUUUUCCCCAACAUUUCCCAGCAUUUCCCUUUCCCAUCCUCUCCUGUAACUCCUCCAUCAGCCGAAGCCACUCUCACCGUUUCCUUCUUUCCCCUUUUCCUUCCCAACUUUCGCCUUUUCCCAAAGUUUUCCCAUUAUUUCUCCUCACCAACUUUGCCUUUUUGUCCAACUUCUUCCCCAUCUUUGUGCCCAACCUCUUUGUCUUCUCUGCCGUCUCUUAGGACUCAACUUUUCCCGUCUUCUUUCCCAUCUUUUCCCGUCUUCUUUCCCACCUUUUCCCGUCUUCUUUCCCAACUUUUCCCACCGCCUCCUCCAACCCGCUCUCACCGUUUCCUUCUUUCCCUUUUCCCUCCCAACUUCCCCCUUUUCCCGCAGUUUUCCCCCCUUUUCCUGCUCCAUCUUUCUCCUCCUGUCCAUCAUCCCUGCCCUCCUUCCCCUCCUUUCUGUCCUCUCAGUCUGAUCCUUCCCGCUUUGUUUCCCACAUUUUUCCUUUCCCCUUUUCCCUCCCUCCCC